UAGUGACAAUAAAUAACAAUACGGGGUUCUUUAGGAUCUCGUAAUUGGAAUGAGUACAAUUUAAAUCUCUUAACGAGGAACAAUUGGAGGGCAAGUCUGGUGCCAGCAGCCGCGGUAAUUCCAGCUCCAAUAGCGUAUAUUAAAGUUGUUGCAGUUAAAAAGCUCGUAGUUGAAUUUCGAGAUCGGCUUACUGGUCGUGCUAUUGUACGUACUGGUAUAAUCGGUUUCUCCUUUCUGACGAACUAUAAUGCCAUUAAUUUGGUGUUUUAGGGAAUCAGGACUGUUACUUUGAAAAAAUUAGAGUGUUUAAAGCAGGCUCACGCUUGAAUACAUUAGCAUGGAAUAACGGAAUAGGACGUUUGAUUCUAUUUUGUUGGUUUCUAGGAUCGACGUAAUGAUUAAUAGGGAUAGUUGGGGGCAUUAGUAUUCAAUUGUCAGAGGUGAAAUUCUUGGAUUUAUUGAAGACUAACUACUGCGAAAGCAUUUGCCAAGGAUGUUUUCAUUAAUCAAGAACGAAAGUUAGGGGAUCGAAGACGAUCAGAUACCGUCGUAGUCUUAACCAUAAACUAUGCCGACUAGGGAUCGGAUGAUGUUAAUUUUUUAAUGACUCAUUCGGCGCCUUACGGGAAACCAAAGUGUUUGGGUUC
rnacentral:rRNA from 1 species